GGAACGCGGAGACAGUUGGUGCAUGGCUGUCGUCAGCUCGUGUCGUGAAGAUGUUGGUUUAAGUCCCGCAACGAGCGCAACCCACGUUUUUAGUUGCCAGCAUUCAGUUGGGCACUCUAGAAAGACCGCCGGUGAUAAACCGGAGGAAGGUGUGGAUGACGUCAAGUCAUCAUGCCCCUUACGUCCUGGGCUACACACGUACUACAAUGCUACGGACAAAGGGCAGCAAACUCGCGAGAGCUAGCAAAUCCCAUAAACCGUGGCUCAGUUCAGAUCGUAGGCUGCAACUCGCCUACGUGAAGGAGGAAUCGCUAGUAAUCGCAGGUCAGCAUACUGCGGUGAAUACGUUCCCGGGCCUUGUACACACCGCCCGUCACACCAUGGAAGUUGGCCACGCC
rnacentral:rRNA from 1 species